rnacentral:lncRNA from 1 species
ACCAUUUAGCCGAGGAAAUAUCCAAGAAAAACGCCGUGAAUCCAGAUGAGCAACCACAUAAGCCAGCAGGUUGUCCACCAGGAGCAACCUCUAUCAAUGCAGCGAAGGAAGUACCCAAGUCCAAGCAAGCAGGUUGUCCGCCAGAAGCAUCCUCUAUGAAUGCAGCGAAGGAAGAACCUAAGUCCAAGCAAGCAGGUUGUCCACCGGCAGUAACCACCGUGAAUCGAGCAGAGCAACUAGCUAAGCCAACAGGUUGUCCACCAGGAGCAACCUCUAUGAAUGCGGCGCAGGAAGAACCCAAGUCGAAGCAAGCAGGUUGUCCACCGGCAGUAACCACCAUGAAUCGAGAAGAGCAAGUAGCUAAGCCAACAGGAUGUCGACCAGGAGCAACCUCUAUGAAUGCAGUGGAGGAAGAACCUAAGUCCAAGCCAGCAGGUUGUCCACCAGGAAAAACCACCGUGAAUGCUAUGGUGGAAGGGCGUAAGAUGAAGUGUGGGAAC